UUCUGGCUCAGGAUGAACGCUGGCGGCGUGCUUAAUACAUGCAAGUCGAACGAAGCACCUGCGACGGAUCCCUUCGGGGUGAAGAUGCUUGUGACUGAGUGGCGGACGGGUGAGUAACGCGUGGGUAACCUGCCUUAUGCAGGGGGACAACAGUUAGAAAUGACUGCUAAUACCGCAUAAGCGCGCGAGACCGCAUGGUCAAGUGUGAAAAGAUUUAUCGGCAUAAGAUGGACCCGCGUCUGAUUAGGUAGUUGGUGAGGUAACGGCCCACCAAGCCGACGAUCAGUAGCCGACUUGAGAGAGUGAUCGGCCACAUUGGGACUGAGACACGGCCCAGACUCCUACGGGAGGCAGCAGUAGGGAAUAUUGCACAAUGGGGGAAACCCUGAUGCCAGCGACGCCGCGUGAGUGAUUGAAGUAUUUCGGUACGUAAAGCUCUAUCAGCAGGGAAGAUAAUGACGGUACCUGACUAAGAAGCCCCGGCUAACUACGUGCCAGCCGCGGC
rnacentral:rRNA from 1 species